UACGUAGGGGGCUAGCGUUGUCCGGAAUCAUUGGGCGUAAAGAGCGUGUAGGCGGCCCGGUAAGUCCGCUGUAAAAGUCAAAGGCUCAACCUUUGAAUGUCAGUGGAUACUGCCAGGCUAGAGUCCGGAAGAGGCGAGUGGAACUCCUGGUGUAGCGGUGGAAUGCGCAGAUAUCGGGAAGAACACCCGUGGCGAAGGCGGUUCUCUGGGACGGUACUGACGCUGAGACGCGAAAGCGUGGGGAGCGAACAGG
rnacentral:rRNA from 1 species